GAACGCACAUUGCGCCCCUUGGUAUUCCGGGGGGCAUGCCUGUUCGAGCGUCAUUUCAACCCUCACGCGUAGCGUGGUCUUGGGCUCUGCCGGCGACGGCUUGCCUUAAAAUCAGUGGCGGUGCCAUCGGGCUCUACGCGUAGUAAUAAAACCCUCGCGUGUGAGUUCCGGCGGACGCUGGCCAGCAACCCCCAAUUUUUUAUGGUUGACCUCGAAUCAGGUAGGGAUACCCGCUGAACUUAAG
rnacentral:misc_RNA from 1 species